CUGUUGCGGAUGCUGCUGCUGCUGUUGCUGGAAAGAAGGCACCACCAGUUUAAUCAACUGUUGCUGGAAUUGGACAGCUUGAUCACAGCAGCAGCAGCGGCAGCAGCGGUUUCAGCUCCAUCCAAUAUAAAAGCUUCCUGCGUAGAAGAGACAAUGAGCGUCCUCCAGCCCGAUUCUGGUGUCUCGGGCAAAAAGGAGAAAGAGAGAGGCAGGAGGAAGAAGAAGAAGGAGGCGUAAGUACCCGAGUACUGAGCUCCACGCUAAGGCUUUCAGCUUUCAGGUAGUUAAGCUCUCUAUUCUAUGGCCUCCUGUGCAUGACUACAACUUCUGGGCCUUAAGCUGGCUACUGGAACUUUGUGUGCAGGUGCAGGAUCCUACUGACAGUGAGUGUGAUUCACAAGGUACUUGCAAACGGGCAACAGACCACAUCUUAAGUGGCUUCUCUCCGCAUUCCCCUGGCACAGUAUCAGAGAAAGGAUGGACUUGUGUUGUGAGGGGUUGCAGCGGACUCCCCGCGGAAAGGAGUUGUGUGCUCACAGCUCUAAUAGGGAGAUGGAGACCCGACAUAUAUAUCGUGUAUAUAUACCAAGGAGAGACUGUCACUCACAGCAGAUGAUAUCGUUUGAAAGUAGCGGGAUGCACAAGCAAUACUAAUCGCAGCAGCUAUGAUACUCCGGCAGGAAUAGUACAGCGCCGCAGCGAGCGGUGGGGCGGAGCUUGACAGAUCUUGCGUGCCAGCCACCUUCGCCAACUUGAAACUGCUGGAGCUCUCGACACGCACAUUGUCAAGUGAUCAGGAGGUGGAUGUGGAUGGACACACAGGCAGCGCAGGUGAGAAGAACGAGGUCGUUUCCAUUUUGGGUGAGCCGGCAAGGACUUCUCGUACUACUUCUCUCCACCGUGCGAUCGCUUCGACAUUCCCAAGGGAUCCAGUAGCUGUGAUAAUUCGUGGACAAAGAGCAGGAGCGGUGGGCGAGAUUGGAGAUGGCACGCCGAGAAAACUCCAAAAGAGGCCGGCAACCGGCUGGAAGCAAGAGCAAGGCGACACCUCCCGCUGGCGAAAUGCUGGCCGGAGGAUCUCUCGCAAACAACAACUUGGAUUUGCCCGAGUGACAAACAAGCUUCCAUGGCAACAAAGACUCUGCGAAGGACCGAGUGAGGAAAACACUGGCGUGAUCGCGAAUAAUUUCGCGCGUAGUUUAGCAUUUGGACUGCGAAUCCGAGGACUAAAGCCGCAUUAUCUUCGUCCCAGC